rnacentral:rRNA from 1 species
UCGGGAAUUUUGGGCAAUGGGCGAAAGCCUGACCCAGCAACGCCGCGUGAAGGAUGAAGUAUUUCGGUAUGUAAACUUCGAAAGAAUAGGAAGAAUAAAUGACGGUACUAUUUGUAAGGUCCGGCUAACUACGUGCCAGCAGCCGCGGUAAUACGUAGGGACCAAGCGUUGUUCGGAUUUACUGGGCGUAAAGGGCGCGUAGGCGGUGUGUCAAGUCAGUUGUGAAAUCUCCGAGCUUAACUCGGAACGGUCAACUGAUACUGUCACACUAGAGUACAGAAGGGGCAAUCGGAAUUCUUGGUGUAGCGGUGAAAUGCGUAGAUAUCAAGAGGAACACCUGAGGCGAAGGCGGGUUGCUGGGCUGAUACUGACGCUGAGGCGCGAAAGCUAGGGUAGCAAACGGGAUUAGAUACCCUGGUAGUCCCUGAGCGGGCUGGCAAGGCGCAU